AUAAUGGUGGACAAAUUUGAGAUUGAUUGCAACCACGGAAAAAAAUGCUAAAGCGAUCCUU
rfam:Bacteroidetes bacterium GWF2_42_66 gwf2_scaffold_139, whole genome shotgun sequence.